UCAUAUUGGAUCUACCCCCAUUCCUAGGUACUAAAUUAGCACGAAUGAGUUUGUGAAUAACAUUGUUCAGAGGAGUAGUUUCAACAACAGUUGGUAACCCAAUAAAUUCAGUAGAAGAACAUUCUUUCACAAUCCUUAAUUGUUCAAGGACAGUUAGAUUUUCAAACUCUAAAGGUCCCUUGAGUGUGAAAGGAUAAAAACCAGAGCAAGGGAUAUUAAGAAUAGAGCCCAAUAUAGCAGAAUUGUGUUACUAGCUUAUUACAUUUUCAAGCUCUCCCUGUACUUGAAUUAUCAAAACAGUCUUGUCCCAUAUCUUAUGUCUUAAUAAAUAAGUUUAGAAUGAAUAUUUUGCAGCACGGCGCGGUCGCGCUGCCUUUUAGCCUAAAAGUUAGGACUGAGCAAAAAACGGAUAAAUCGAAUAACCGAAUUUUUUUAACCGAAAUAUUUCGUUUAUUCGAUUAUUUUCAUUAAUUCGGUUAUAACCAUUUUAAUAAUCCGAUAUUCGGGUAUCCAUACGGAUAUUGAAAUAAUGUUAUUCGGGUAACCGAAUAAUCGAAUAGAUUUUUAAAAUGAUAAUAAUAAAUAAAGCCCUACUCUUUGACUCUUAAGAGUUAACUUUAUUCUCGUCGUCACAGACUCACAGUCACAACUCUGCCGACUCUCCUCCUCCUCCAUAGCCAGUCAGCCAGCCCCACUCUGGCUUCGCAAAGCGCAGCUCUUCCGGUCUCCCCCAGUGACUGUUACUGGUAUCAUCGAUCUGGGCUGCAUCGGGAUAUGACAUCAUCAUCACUACGCAAGUGAUGAUUAAUAAAAAGAUGAGUGUGAUUAAGAGCUUGGGUAGAUGUAGAAGCGCCAUGACCACGAAAUUAACCCAAAGCAAAGUAAUCCAGCUAGGAGAUCAAGGAAGAAAAGAUAGAUAGUGAGGGUAAGAGAAUUGGGGAUGGGGUUUUUGAUUAGAGCAAUACAACAUCCAUCUGUUUGAGAAAGAAGAUAAGCUAGGGAACUGUACAGCUCUAUAAUUUAACUUACUAGGAGGGGAGAGAACUUAAUUUCGGUUAUUAACCAAAAUAACCUAAUAUAAAAUGCGGUUAUUCGGUAUUCGGUUAUUCGGUUAUUUCUCUAUUCGAUUAAUUAUUCGGAUAGUAAAAUUUAGAAUAUUUCGGUAUUCGGUUAUAUCCGAAUAAGCUAUUCGAUUUAGAUAUAACCGAAUUGCUCACCCCUAC
rnacentral:lncRNA from 1 species